UACGGGGGAGCAAGCGUUGUUCGGAUUUACUGGGCGUAAAGGGCGCGUAGGCGGCCACCGCAAGUCGACUGUGAAAUCUCCGGGCUUAACCCGGAAAGGUCAGCCGAUACUGCGGGGCUAGAGUGCAGAAGGGGCAACUGGAAUUCUCGGUGUAGCGGUGAAAUGCGUAGAUAUCGAGAGGAACACCUGCGGCGAAGGCGGGUUGCUGGGCUGACACUGACGCUGAGGCGCGAAGCUAGGGGAGCGAACGGGA
rnacentral:rRNA from 1 species